AAUGGCUGGUGUUGUGUCUGUUUUCCCUAGUGGGAAGCAGAAGCUCCACACAACAAGGUCAUGGAACUUCAUCGGGUUUCAUGAAAAUGUGAAGAGAAGCACAGUUGAAAGCGAUAUCAUUGUUGGGGUGAUUGACUCUGGAGUUUGGCCGGAAUCUUCUAGCAUCAGUGAUGCCGGGUUCGGUCCACCUCCCAAAAAAUGGAAAGGCACAUGCCAAGGCUCAUCCAAUUUUACUUGCAACAAGUAGGGCUAAUAUACUAGACCUGUCAUGAUGCUAGUGGUUUAGGGUUGACUUUUGCUCUUGGAGGGUUUGGAAAAAUUUCUUGGCUCCAUUACGUAAUGCAUGAGCUCACGAAUUCAUAGACACGUAGUGGCCCCAAAUCAGAGUUAAAAUGAGAAAGUUACGAUCAAAAGAAGUGUAAGUGCAUGAUCGUAAUUUUUGCAAAUUAAGUGUUAAAAAGUCAGAUUUUUUCUUUCCUUCCCUCAUUUCUCUCUCCUCCCUUCCGAUUCUUCCUCUCUCGCGACUCUUCUUCUCGACAGUCACUAUUUGCUGUUCGUAUUCUCUGGUGAAUUUUGUCGCCGUCCGGUCGUUCCAAGCGACGCCACCACCCACAAAAGCUUUGUCUAAGUCUCCUCUACCUAACCCAUCCCUCAAUCGAACUCAAAAACCCGAAGAAUAGUCGGAUUUUGGACUGAAACAAACUCAAUAACCUCCACCUGACGCCAACGACUGAUUUUGUCGAAUAAGGCACUCAGACUUCACGUGCUCAAUCAGAGGGACCUUCAAAGGGUCAAGCAAGCUUGGACUCACAAUGAGUGGACAUUUAUUUUAUAAUGAUUUUUCAUACUAUGAUGGUUUUAUGAAACGCUUUAUGAACAGAUUAUUUAUGGUAUUUACUUUCCGAACAUUUGAUUUUGGUUAAGAAAAGGUUAUAUUAUUAUUAUUAUUGAUAAGUGAGAUUAGUUCAAGAAAUUGAGAAUGAUUUGAGAACUGGAUUUGAGAAAAGUUUUGGAAAAGUUUUCAAAACCACCUAGUUAUCCUUUGGUUGCCUUCGGAUUUUAUGAUGUCCUCGGACAUCUCAGUUGCUUUCAGGAAAUGGUUUGUCUUCGGACGAUUUGGUUAUCUUUGGAUAAGUCUGUGCACGUAUGACCAUGCGCCAAGAGUCUCAGGGAUGUCAGAGCCGUGUGCUGCGAGGAAUGCGUCUCAGGAUGUAUCACACAUGUGGCCACAUGUGUGAUACCUGGAAUUGAUGGUACACUGUUGGAAUUGACGGAUUUUCUAUGGGAUACAUCUGGGUGGAAAGUAUUUACAGUUUGAGAAAUUAUUUUAUUUUGAAAUUAGUGAUUUGUCCUUUGUUUGAUAUAUUAUGCUUAUGUAUGAAUCUUAUUUGCUUGUACGAACAUAGCAUAAAUUAUAACUGGUUUGCCAAUAGUUUUUAAAUGGUGGGGUUAACAUGUUCUUACUAUGUUUAACACUUAAUUUUUUGUCUACUCACACUUUCUUUGUUUUGCGCCUCCUUCCAGGCAGUAGACGAGUACCAGACAACCACUUGAGGGCCUUCCACCAUCAACCACUUUUCCUUCUUCUCUCUCGUGUAGGCGUUUACUUUGUUGUAAAUAAUUUUCUGACUGUAAACUUAACUGAAAUAGUUAUGCUCUAAUAUAGUCCAGAAUCCCUGUAAGGCUUGAAGUCAACCGAAAUAGCUAUUUUGUAUGUGAACUUAACUUGUGCGUGCUGAA